CGUGACAGAGAGAGGGUUAGUACUCCAAAUAUUUCCUCAUUAAAAUUGUAGCCUUUUUGUGCAGAGCACCAUUGAUUUCUAAUCAUUGACCUAAUUUUAUCCUUAAUUUAAUCCCAAUCACGAAUGCCCCCUACUUAAUAAUUUACUUGGUGUUCUUUUAAUAAAAAGUGCCCCCUUGCAAUGUCGUUUUUAUUUGUUGUUUUUAACUCUAAGUGAUUCAAAUCUUUGAUUUAUUCUUACAUGUAACCACCUUGCAUAGUCUAAUG